GUGCUCGCUUCAGCAGCACCUAUACUAAAAUUGGAAUGAUACAGAGAAGUUUAACACAGCCCCUGUGCAAGAAUGACACACACAUUUGUAAAAUAUUUCAUAUAUUU
ensembl:snRNA U6 U6 spliceosomal RNA